AACGAACGCUGGCGGCAGGCCUAACACAUGCAAGUCGAACGAAGCCUUAGGGCUUAGUGGCGGACGGGUUAGUAACGCGUGGGAAUAUGCCCUUGGGUACGGAACAACAGCUGGAAACGGCUGCUAAUACCGUAUGAUGUCUACGGACCAAAGAUUUAUCGCCCAAGGAUUAGCCCGCGUUGGAUUAGAUAGUUGGUGGGGUAACGGCUUACCAAGUCUACGAUCCAUAGCUGGUCUGAGAGGAUGAACGGCCACAAGGGGACCGAGACACGGCCCUU
rnacentral:rRNA from 1 species